rnacentral:rRNA from 1 species
CGCCUGUUUAUCAAAAACAUAGCCUAUUGUUCAAAAUAUUAUAGGUAUAUCCUGCCCAGUGAUAAUUUCAACGGCCGCGGUAUCCUGACCGUGCAAAGGUAGCAUAAUCAUUUGUCUCUUAAUUAGUGACUUGUAUGAAUGGAUAAACGAGUAUCAAACUGUCUCCUUUAUUACAAUAUAAAUUAAUCUUCAGGUGAAGAAGCCUGAAUUUUAUUAAAAGACAAGAAGACCCUGUCGAGCUUUAUUUUACAUUAAACUAUAAAAUUCUUUCCUUUAAAUAAAAUUUAGUUGGGGCGACAAAGGAACAAAUAAAUCUUCCUUAAUAUAUUAGAUUUCAAAUCAAGUAAUAGAUCCAUUAAUUGAUCAAAGAAAAUAGCUACCGCAGGGAUAACAGUCUAAUUCUCCUCAAGAGCUCAUAUCCUAAAGGAGAGAUUGGCACCUCGAUGUUGGCUUAGGAAAUCUUCUAAACGCAGCCGUUUAUAUAGAAGGUUUGUUCAACCUUUAAAUUCCUACGUGAUCUGAGUUCAGACCGG